UACGGAGGGGAUUAGCGUUGUUCGGAAUGACUGGGCGUAAAGCGCGCGUAGGCGGAUCAGGAAGUUGGGGGUGAAAUCCCGGGGCUCAACCCCGGAAUGGCCUUCAAAACUCCUGGUCUUGAGUUCGAGAGAGGUGAGUGGAAUUCCGAGUGUAGAGGUGAAAUUCGUAGAUAUUCGGAGGAACACCAGUGGCGAAGGCGGCUCACUGGCUCGACACUGACGCUGAGGUGCGAAAGCGUGGGGAGCAAACAGG
rnacentral:rRNA from 1 species